rnacentral:rRNA from 1 species
GUGGGGAAUAUUGCGCAAUGGGCGAAAGCCUGACGCAGCGACGCCGCGUGAGGGACGAAGGCCUUCGGGUCGUAAACCUCUUUCAGCAGGGAAGAAGCGAAAGUGACGGUACCUGCAGAAGAAGCACCGGCUAACUACGUGCCAGCAGCCGCGGUAAUACGUAGGGUGCAAGCGUUGUCCGGAAUUAUUGGGCGUAAAGAGCUCGUAGGCGGCUUGUCACGUCUGCUGUGAAAACUCGGGGCUCAACCCCGAGCCUGCAGUGGAUACGGGCUAGCUAGAGUGCGGUAGGGGAGACUGGAAUUCCUGGUGUAGCGGUGAAAUGCGCAGAUAUCAGGAGGAACACCGGUGGCGAAGGCGGGUCUCUGGACCGAUACUGACGCUGAGGAGCGAAAGCGUGGGGAGCGAACAGGAUUAGAAACCCUGGUAGUCC